UACGUAGGUGGCAAGCGUUGUCCGGAAUUAUUGGGCGUAAAGCGCGCGCAGGUGGUUCUUUAAGUCUGAUGUGAAAGCCCCCGGCUCAACCGGGGAGGGUCAUUGGAAACUGGGAGACUUGAGUGCAGAAGAGAAGAGCGGAAUUCCACGUGUAGCGGUGAAAUGCGUAGAGAUGUGGAGGAACACCAGUGGCGAAGGCGGCUCUUUGGUCUGUAACUGACGCUGAGGCGCGAAAGCGUGGGGAGCAAACAGG
rnacentral:rRNA from 1 species